UGGGGAAUAUUGCACAAUGGGCGCAAGCCUGAUGCAGCCAUGCCGCGUGUAUGAAGAAGGCCUUCGGGUUGUAAAGUACUUUCAGCGAGGAGGAAGGCGUUGUGGUUAAUAACCGCAACGAUUGACGUUACUCGCAGAAGAAGCACCGGCUAACUCCGUGCCAGCAGCCGCGGUAAUACGGAGGGUGCAAGCGUUAAUCGGAAUUACUGGGCGUAAAGCGCACGCAGGCGGUCUGUCAAGUCGGAUGUGAAAUCCCCGGGCUCAACCUGGAAACUGCAUCCGAAACUGGCAGGCUAGAGUCUUGUAGAGGGGGGUAGAAUUCCAGGUGUAGCGGUGAAAUGCGUAGAGAUCUGGAGGAAUACCGGUGGCGAAGGCGGCCCCCUGGACAAAGACUGACGCUCAGGUGCGAAAGCGUGGGGAGCAAACA
rnacentral:rRNA from 1 species